GUGCUUGCUUCAGCAGCACAUAUACUAAAAAACUGAAACAAUACAGAGAAGAUUAGCAUGGCCCCUGCACAAGGAUGACACACAAAUUUGUUUUGAAAAUUAUUUUU
ensembl:snRNA U6 U6 spliceosomal RNA